rnacentral:tRNA from 1 species
AGUCCCUUCGUCUAGUGGUCAAGGAUAGCGAGGUUUUAACCCUAUAAGGCUUUGGUCGCUAGGAAGACACCCGUUGGCGGCGGUUCGAAUCCGCCAGGGACUA